rnacentral:rRNA from 1 species
AACGAACGCUGGCGGCAGGCUUAACACAUGCAAGUCGGACGCAUCCUUCGGGGUGAGUGGCAGACGGGUGAGUUACGCGUGGGAACGUGCCCUUCAGUUCGGGAUAACCCAGGGAAACUUGGGCUAAUACCGGAUACGUGCGAGAGCAGAAAGAUUUAUCGCUGAAGGAUCGGCCCGCGUCUGAUUAGCUAGUUGGUGGGGUAAUGGCCCACCAAGGCGACGAUCAGUAGCUGGUCUGAGAGGAUGAUCAGCCACAUUGGGACUGAGACACGGCCCAAACUCCUACGGGAGGCAGCAGUGGGGAAUAUUGGACAAUGGGCGCAAGCCUGAUCCAGCCAUGCCGCGUGAGUGAUGAAGGCCUUAGGGUUGUAAAGCUCUUUCGUCCGGGACGAUAAUGACGGUACCGGAAGAAGAAGCCCCGGCUAACUUCGUGCCAGCCGCCGCUGUAA